rnacentral:rRNA from 1 species
GACAGAGGGUGCAAACGUUGUUCGGAAUUACUGGGCGUAAAGCGAGUGUAGGCGGUUUCCUAAGUCAGGUGUGAAAGCCCCGGGCUCAACCCGGGAAGUGCACUUGAAACUGGGAGGCUAGAGUAUCGGAGAGGUUGGUGGAAUUCUCGGUGUAGAGGUGAAAUUCGUAGAUAUCGAGAGGAACACCGGUGGCGAAGGCGGCCAACUGGGACGAAUACUGACGCUGAGACUCGAAAGCGUGGGGAGCAAACAGG